AUGCUAUCCUUCUAAAAAAAAAAAACUCAGUUGCUCUCUCAAUCCCUUUCUCUCGCCCUUUGAUCGGACUCAAAGUCAGGCGAACAAGCCGCCAUAUGUCACCGUUGUCGGCCACUGCGCGCGGUGGCCAGAAAUCCGAAGAGGUCGGUGGACGGUGGAGCAGGUGGCUGACAUGGUGGUGGCAGACCUAGGUGCGACGCACCUAGGUGUUAGGAGGCUAGGGUUCUCUUUUUUUGUUAAUGUUUUUGGGCUGAUGUUAGUGGGUUAGGGUUUGUUUAUUUUGGGCUGGUAGUUUAGGUUUUAUUUUGUUUUGGGUUAAAGGUUAUAAUUGGGCUUUUGUAAUGUAAAUAGGCCCAAAAUUGGCCUACAACAUCUUAAAUGUAAUAAUUUUUGUUGUAUUUCUGUAGUAAAUUUAUUAGGCUCAAAAA